rnacentral:misc_RNA from 1 species
GAUGAAGAACGCAGCGAAAUGCGAUAAGUAAUGUGAAUUGCAGAAUUCAGUGAAUCAUCGAAUCUUUGAACGCACAUUGCGCCCUCUGGUAUUCCGGGGGGCAUGCCUGUUCGAGCGUCAUUAUAACCACUCAAGCUCUCGCUUGGUAUUGGGGUUCGCGGUUCCGCGGCCCCUAAAAUCAGUGGCGGUGCCUGUCGGCUCUACGCGUAGUAAUACUCCUCGCGAUUGAGUCCGGUAGGUCUACUUGCCAGCAACCCCCAAUUUUUACAGGUUGACCUCGGAUCAGGUAGGAAUACCCGCCGAACUUAAGCAUAUCAAUAAGCGGAGGA